rnacentral:tRNA from 1 species
GGAAUCGUGCCUGAAUGCCAAAGGGCUACUUUGAUAGAGUAGACAAUAGGGGUUCAAACCCCCUCGCUUCCUAGGAAA